rfam:Brassica napus, WGS project CCCW01000000 data, contig: 6832
UCACCGUGGGGCUCGGAUUCGCUUGGUGCAGGUCGGGACUGAUAUGCUGACACAACCACUGGUGCUUUUGCCUUAUUGGUUUGUGAGCAGGUAUUGGCUCCCGCCUUGCAUCAAUUGAAUCGGAGCCUCCAAUGGUG